rnacentral:rRNA from 1 species
AGCGCGGGAAGCGAGCGGAUCCCUUCGGGGUGAAGCUCGUGGAACGAGCGGCGGACGGGUGAGUAACACGUGGGCAACCUGCCUGUAAGACCGGAAUAACCCCGGGAAACCGGGGCUAAUGCCGGGUAAUACUUUUCUUCGCAUGAAGGAAAGUUGAAAGAUGGCUUCUCGCUAUCACUUACAGAUGGGCCCGCGGCGCAUUAGCUAGUUGGUGAGGUAACGGCUCACCAAGGCGACGAUGCGUAGCCGACCUGAGAGGGUGAUCGGCCACACUGGGACUGAGACACGGCCCAGACUCCUACGGGAGGCAGCAGUAGGGAAUCUUCCGCAAUGGACGAAAGUCUGACGGAGCAACGCCGCGUGAACGAUGAAGGUCUUCGGAUCGUAAAGUUCUGUUGUUAGGGAAGAACAAGUACCGUGCGAAUAGAGCGGUACCUUGACGGUACCUAACGAGGAAGCCCCGGCUAACUACGUGCCAGCAGCCGCGGUAAUACGUAGGGGGCAAGCGUUGUCCGGAAUUAUUGGGCGUAAAGCGCGCGCAGGCGGUUCCUUAAGUCUGAUGUGAAAGCCCACGGCUCAACCGUGGAGGGUCAUUGGAAACUGGGGAACUUGAGGACAGAAGAGGAGAGUG